CCGUGGAAGAGCUGCCCUCGUUAGUGAAGCCAGAAACAAACAAUUCUUUACAACAAAUAGUAGGUGGUAUUUAAAAAUAACACAUUAUUGCAUAAUAGCAUGAAAUUCAACUUCUCUUUCCUCACAUGCUAAAUCAAACAAAAUAGCAAAACAUUUCACCAAUGUCAAUAAUUCAACUACCAUAACCACUGUCUGGUUGGAAGGGUAAUUCCGGAAUGUCACUGUUCUAGGAACAGUACAAAAUUGCCUGGGAAAGUAGGCAAAAUCACCAAAUUGGGUCCCUUUUACAAAUUAAUUACCAAAAUGGGUCUGUUUUAUUUUUAUUUACCAAGGGGGUCUGUUAUUUUACUACAAAGCGCCUACCUGAGGAGCGCGUUCCACCAGAACGCGACACGUGGCUUGUCUGGACAGGACGAUGUGACAAGGGUGGUCGUGCCUGCCUGCCAGGCGCUACCAGUCGUGCCUACCUGCCAGGCGCGACCACUAGUGGUAGCCUGGCAGGCACUUCCACUAGUGGUGGGCCCCCUGGCACGUCCCUGUUCCCUAUAAAACCAUCUGCUCUCCGUUUCAUUUUCACACAAAAAUCAAGCUCAUUUGGAAACCUUGAAGCUGAGUUGAAACGUACCGGUUAGAAAUUUUGUUCAAAACUAGUAAAUAUUUUUUAUCUUCAAUACAUUAUAGCAUUAAUUAAUAUUUAUUUUGGUGAUGAUAAUAAUGAUUAUAUUUUGUAGGUGCAUAAACAAAUUGACAUGAACUAUAAAAUGAAAUAGUAAUUUUGUUUAUAUUUUUUGUGUGAUAAUUAGUAAUUUUUGGUAACUUAAUAAUUUAUUUUUUGGUUAUAAUUAUGAUAUAUUUGUUUGUUGAUGACAAUAAUUAUUUAUUGUAGUAGUUUUUAUGUCUAGCACAUUAUUAUUAUUAUUAGUUAAGCUCAUAAUUAUUGAUGUUGUUGGUAUAUUUUUUUAAUAGCCAAAAUUUAUACAUACACAUUAAAAAUAAAUGCUGAUUGUUUUGCGUCAUUCGUGUGCGAAGUAGGAAAUUGUUGUGACAGUAAUUUCAUUUAUUUAGAGUAAUUUGUUGUUGUUAAUUUAUUUUAGGUUAAUAAUUUAUGUUAUGUUAAUAUAUUUUUUAUAUUAUUGUUUGUUGACGACAUUAAUUAUUUAUUGUAGGUAUAUUUUUGAAAAAUGAAUUCAAUUAUUACACUCGUCUAUUUAAAUGGUAAGAUGUAUGAAACUGAUGAUGGUAUCACAUUUGAAGGCCCUAAAAAAGCUAUUCAAAUAAAGCGUGGUAUUAGUUUUGAGAGUUUAAAAAAAAGGAUACACGACAAGGUAAAAUUACAAAAACAUGAAAGUAUAUCUACUAUCACUUGUAGAUUUUUAGUUGCAGGUAAAUAUAUUGCACUGCAAAUUUGUGACGAUGAAGAUGUUGAAACAAUGAUUCAAAGUUUUGAACAACAACAAGAAAUGUCUGUCAUAGAAUUAUGUGUUGAAGUUGAUGUUGCGGGUGCUUCUGCAAUUAAUUUGACAAAUUCAUUGUUAUCAUGCGGAAAUAAUAUGUCUCACAAUGAAUCGGGUAGUGCAACAGUUGGAACAAAUUCAGAAGAAGAUUUUGAUGAUGAUGAUUAUUUAAUAUCUAAUUCAUACGCUGAGGACUCACUAGAUGAGGAUGAGGAUAUUAAUGAAAUGUCUGACACAGAUGAUGAAGCUGCCCGUUUGAUCGAACCACUUACAGUUGUGCAAUCGGGAGAAGGUAUAUUUAUUGUUAUAUAUAAAUAAAUAUUAUAAUAUUUAAAUAAUUCUCUACCCUUGAAUUAUAAAUUUUUGGUAUAUUGUUUUUGUAGGUGGAAGUCAGACUCCAUUUUGGGAUUCUGCUUCUCACUAUAGUAAUAUUAAUUGGAGUUAUCCUGACCAAGAAGAAAUUUGCGGUUUAGAUAUGGAAUCAAAUUUUAAUAUGGGUCAAGAAUUAUAUGUUGGUAUGGAAUUUGAUACCAAAAGCGCAGUAAAAAAUGCAUUACAACAAUAUGUAAUGAAAGUGCAUCAAAGUUUCAAAGUUGUUGAAUCUAAAUCGUAGAAAUAUGUCGUCUGUUGUGGAAAUAGAAGCGAUGACAUCCCAUGCCCUUUUUAUAUGAGGGCAAUUUUAUAAAAAAAAACUGAUACAUGGAAAGUUACGCAAUGGGGAGGACCAAUAGUCCUCUUCUUGCAUGUUUUGGGUCGACAUAAACUUUUGUCUUACGCCUGUACCACCUCAUAUAUUCAGAGUUCAGACUAAGGGUCCCUGUUUGUGGCGGCGUUUGUUCUACUCUCCUUUCAUAGCGACUAUUCCAUUCAUUAAGCGCGGGUUGCAUUAGUCGCAUCCAAUUUCUUCCUUCUUUUCCCUUUAAGGUCAAGUCAUGUAUGUUUUCGGGUUGCAUUACUAGGCCCGGAAUAGGUUGUUGCAUUCCAAACUGUCGCAUGACUCUAUCCGGCUGGUGCCAUUCCACUUUUUGAAAACAAAUAAGUGGUACGAUACAUGUCCAUAAUACAGACCCAAUAAAACAAACUUGACUCAAAUUCAUUUCCACAUGUCCAGCAUAAGGGACCCAAACAAACUGCAUAUAAAAGUUAAAUUUAAUAAAUUAAGUAACAAUUAGAACAUCAUUUAAUAAACAAAUGUCAAAAUUAUUACCUCGUCGCGUUUCAUGACAUCUAAUUUACGACGAAACUCAAGUAAAUUGUCAUUGCCUAUGUGAUGCAAUUCACCUCCUAACCAUCUUCACAAAAAAACAAAUAACAAAAUAAGAUGUUACGUAUAAUAAUGAUUAACAUCAAGCAACCAUAUUUAUUAAUUAUCAAUUCAAAAUAUUAAAGGAAAGUAUACCUGUAAGCAAGUGGCGCGUUUUGUUGUUGUGGAGGAAUAACUGACGGGGCUAACGUUGGGCAUCGUUCCCAUGCCCAUAACUGAAUCAAGAGAGUGAAAUCGCCUAUUGAUUUAGCAUGAUAGUCUGUUGCGAUGCACAUCUCUCUAUAAAGGUUACCCAGAAGAGCAGCUCCCCAUGCAUAAGUGCUGCACUCUCUAAGGUCUCUCAAAAAUUGCAAAUAUCUCAUUGGCACCCUUUUGCUGCUUUUAUCAACAAACAUCACGCCUCCUAUGAAUCUUAAGAUCCAAGCUCGAGCAAAUCUUUCAAGCCCUUGUUGGUUGCCUAUGAAAUCAUUAAUAUUUGCAAAUUGAGAAGUCAGCCAACUCAAUAAAAGUGAGUUCCCGUCAACUGCAUCAUCGUCAGGCAUGACACCCAAUAAUUCAUGGCACAACUCAAACCAAUCAAUAUUUGUAUUGCCGGUUAAAGGUCUUCCAUCAACAGAAAUACCAAGUAGCACAGAAACAUCUUGAAGUGUAAUAGUUGCCUCGCCACACUUCAAAUGAAAUGUAUGUGUUUCUGGCCUCCACCUUUCAAUAAAAGCAUUAACUAAUGCUCCAUUUAUCUUCAAUUGCGCCAAUUUCAUUAUCGGGUACAAACCCGAAACUUGUAAUAAAGGAAUAAUUUCCUCGGGCGGUGCUUCUCUAUGAUUAUACAGUGGUGUAGCUCGUCGAAUUUUUAACGUCCUUUGAUUAGCACCAUUCCAAAUAUGUUGUGAUAUAUGGUUUUUUUGCAUCCACAGUAAAUCAUCCUCUAAUGGUCCAGAUGCCACGUCAUAAUGAUUAGAUGAUGACGAACUUGCCAUAUUAAAACUCCUGUAUAACAAGAAAAAAAAUUAAUAAUCACACAUAUCAUAAAUAAUUAAUAAUAAAUUACAAUAUAUUUAAAUACAUUUUAAAUACGUACGCAAACAAUAUUCUAAAAAAAUACAUAAUUUAAAUUUUAGAAAUGAACACAUAAUUUAAAUUUUAGAAAUGAACACAUAAUUUAAGUAAAUGAAUUAUAAUGACAUACACACAUAUAUAUAUAGCAGCAAUUUCAGCAAUUUUUUUUCUUAAUUUUAACUUUUUAUUUUAAAAGUUAUUAAUUAUAAUUUAGAGUUUAUUUUUAAUUUUAAACUAUUGAUAUAUUGUAUCAAACUCAAUAUGCCUUUCUUUUUUAAAUACACUCAAUAGCAAUAUUCUAGUAAUAUUUAUUAUUAAUUUUAAUUAAAAUUAUAUUCUACAAACUAAAAUUAUCAACCCAACAACAACAAAGUCUUACAAUUGCAAAUAACAUCAAUUAUAACUAAUAUAAUUAAAUAUUAACAAAAAUAAUAAUAUAAUAUUUAAAUAACAAUAUUAUUAUCUAUAAUUAUCUUCAACAAUAAUUAACAAUUUUAUAUUAUUAUAAAAUCAAAAAACAAAACACUAAAAAUAUAUAUCAAUUUAAACUUCCUAUUUAUCAAAAAAAAUAUAUAACAAAGCAUUAAAAAUAUAACACAUUAUCAAACUAAUAAUAAUUACUUCUACAAAUAAAUCCACUAAAAAAUAUAAACUGCCUAUAUGCAAUAUAUAUAUAUAUAUAUAUAUAUAUAUAUAUAUAUAUAUAUAUAUAUAUGGAGAGAAACUACAACAAUCUAUAUGGUAUUUAAAGAAAAGUCGUGUUAUCUAUAUCUAUCUUCCACAAUAAUUAACAAUUUUAUAUUAUUANNNNNNNNNNNNNNNNNNNNNNNNNNNNNNNNNNNNNNNNNNNNNNNNNNNNNNNNNNNNNNNNNNNNNNNNNNNNNNNNNNNNNNNNNNNNNNNNNNNNGUUGGGGGAGGGGGGACCCCCAUUUAAGGGCGCUUGGACGCGCCUGGGGCCAGGGCGCGAACCAAGGCGCCUCGGGAACGGCACGACGGAACGCGCCUGCGUGCAGGGCGCGACCAGUAGCGCCUGCAUGCAGGGCGCGACCUUCGGCGCUUUGUUGCAGGGCGCUUCCAGCACCGUCUGCACCACCUGUAGCACUGCCUGCAGCAGCGGCCACGUGUCGCCUUCCUCCGGUAAGCGCCCCUCAGGUAAGCACUUUCCCUGCCAAAACAGCACCCCUUAGUAAAUAAAAAGCAAAGAGACCCAUUCUGGUAAAUAAUUUCUAAAAGUAACCCAGAAUGGUGAUUUUGCCUGGGAAAGUAUCCUCCUAAAUGGAUUUUUCAGAUCGUUGGAAAACUUGGAAGAGGCAUAGGAAAGAGAGGAAAAUCAAUGAGAGAAGCAAAAGAGGUUGAACAUGGCCUUAAAGUUCCACGACGUCGUUGAUGGUUCUUGUGAUCGUCGUCGAUCGCUACUAGAAGCUUCAGCGUUGGACACUGACUCUUGAAUGUCGUGUGUGGCGGCAUCGAUAAAGAUUCCACUCUUGUCGUGUUCGAUAGAGUUUAGGCCAUUGAUUGUUACAACUUUCGCUGGUUGAGCCACUGUGAUGCAAGAGCUUCUUUUGUCAUUCUUGAAUUUUGCUUCAAGGAUGAGAGAGAUGAAGAAGAGAG
rnacentral:lncRNA from 1 species